rnacentral:sRNA from 1 species
AUUGUGAACCUUACCUCUUGCCGCGCGUUGCCUCGGCGGGGAGGCGGGGCUCGGGUUCGGCGCGCCCCUCACCGGGCCGCCGUCCCGGUCCCCAUCCCCGCCGGCAUCUCCAAACUCUAAAUUUUAAAAAGUUUACUGCGUGAGAUGAUUCAUCUCACAACACAAGUCAAACCUUUUAACAACGGAUCUCUUGGUUCUAGCAUCGAUGAAGAACGCGUCAAACGGCCCCAAGUAACGUGAAUUGCAGACUUACUUGAAUCGUCGGAUCUUUGAACGAACAUUGCGCCCUGCAGCAAUCUGCGGGGCAUGCCUGUCCGAGCGUCCUUUCUUCCCUCGAGCGCGGGUCCCCCUACGGGGCCUGACAACCGCCGGUGUUGGGGCUCUCCGGGUGGGGCUCGUCCCCCCCGCAGUCCCCGAAAUGUAGUGGCGGUCCAGCCGCGGCGCCCCCUGCAAUUAAUAUCCGACAUCUCGUCUCAGGCCCCGGCGAACGUCAGCCGUGAAAUCUUUUAGUUACACGGCGUGACCGCAGAUCAUGCCGGUUUACCCGAGGAACUUAAGCAUAUAUUUAAAUUCCAGGAAAUGAAGCCAACAGGCACUGACUUAUGACGAACACUGAUGCGGAAAGCAGUNNUCUUUUCAAUCUGGGCCCCUUUGGGGGCCCGAGCUGGAAUUUGAACAGGAUGCUAUGGCCUAGGACCCGUCCUAGUUACUUGGAUAGGAAUCCUUAGAGGGCUAGAGCCGCUUACCGUCCGACGCUGAUACAUUGUAACGCUCCCUCGACGAGUCGAGUAGUUUGGUAAUGCUGCUCGAAUGGAGGUAAUCCCUUCUCAACCUAGAACUGGACUAAUCCGUUAACGCGUAUAUCAUGGUCGAAUGAUGAAUACCACUUUCUAAANAGAUGUAAAAUCUCUGGCAAUUGUUUCAAAGGGAGAUGCUGUCGACGCGACUGU